rnacentral:rRNA from 1 species
UACGUAGGGGGCAAGCGUUGUCCGGAAUCAUUGGGCGUAAAGCGCGUGUAGGCGGCUCGGUAAGUCCGCUCUGAAAAGUCCAGGGGCUCAACCCUGGGAUGCGGGUGGAUACUGCCGGGCUCGAGUCCGGAAGAGGCGAGUGGAAUUCCCGGUGUAGCGGUGAAAUGCGCAGAUAUCGGGAGGAACACCAAUGGCGAAGGCAGCUCGCUGGGACGUGACUGACGCUGAGACGCGAAAAGCGUGGGGGAGCAAACAGG